UUGGACAGCUUGGCUAUCAUUUUUGUUCUUGGAAAAGGUUAGAACACCAUGAAAGAAAACCAUGAAGUUUCCAUGAACACCUGAGCUACUUUCUCCGUUCUUUCUCAAACCGAAACCCCUAUCAAAAAUCUAAUCUUACCAAAGUGUUCACCUCUUCCUCCUCUUCAUUUCUAUGUCACUUUUCAUGGAGUAAAUCAAGGAUCUCUUAUUCAAUCACCAAAAGCUCCAAGAAAACGUGAUUUCUAGUUACCUUAAGGCGUAAAAGUGCUUCUGGAAGCUUGUUUUUGGUGCAAUCUCGGACAGCAGCAAAGGAG